rnacentral:rRNA from 1 species
CCAGCAGCCGCGGUAAUUCCAGCUCCAAUAGCGCAUAUUAAAGUUGUUGCAGUUAAAAAGCUCGUAGUUGAAGUUCGGGAUCAAUAUAUCGGUCGUGCCAUCGGUACGUACUGGUAUGAUUGGUUUCUCCUUUCUGACGAACCAUGAUGUCAUUAAUUUGGUGUCAUGGGAAGUUAGGACUGUUACUUUGAAAAAAUUAGAGUGUUUAAAGCAGGCUUUAGCUUGAAUACAUUAGCAUGGAAUAAUGAAAUAGGACGUUCGAACCUAUUUUGUUGGUUUCUAGGAUCAACGUAAUGAUUAAUAGGGAUAGUUGGGGGCAUUAGUAUUCAAUUGUCAGAGGUGAAAUUCUUGGAUUUAUUGAAGACUAACUACUGCGAAAGCAUUUGCCAAGGAUGUUUUCAUUAAUCAAGAACGAAAGUUAGGGGAUCGAAGACGAUCAGAUACCGUCGUAGUCUUAACCAUAAACUAUGCCGACUAGGGAUCGGAUGAUGUUAGUUUUUUAAUGACUCA